UACGAAGGGUGCAACCGUUGCUCGGAAUUAUUGGGCGUAAAGCGCACGUAGGCGGCUUUGAAAGUUGGAUGUGAAAUCCCUCGGCUCAACCAAGGAAGUGCAUCCAAAACUGCAAAGCUUGAGUACUUAAGAGGAUCGCGGAAUUCCCGGUGUAGAGGUGAAAUUCGUAGAUAUCGGGAGGAACACCAGUGGCGAAGGCGGCGAUCUGGGAAGAUACUGACGCUGAGGUGCGAAAGCGUGGGGAGCAAACAGG
rnacentral:rRNA from 1 species